rnacentral:lncRNA from 1 species
GAAAAGUUCAGUUUAGGGUUGGGGCCCUAAUGCUGACUGAAUGGACAGAAGUUCAGUUUUAGGGUUGACACCCUAAUGCUGACUAAGGAAAAGUUUAGUUUAGGGUUUUAAAACCCUAAUCCUGAUUAAAGGGAAAAGUUCAGUUUAGGGUUUAAAACCCUAAUGCUGACUAAAGGGAAGAGCUCAGUUUAGGGUUUAAAACCCUAAUCCUGAUUAAAGGGAAAAGUUCAGUUUAGGGUUUAAAACCCUAAUGCUGACUAAAGGGAAGAGUUCAGUUUAAGGUUUAAAACCCUAAUGCUGACUAAAUGGAAAGAGUUCAGUUUAAGGUUUAAAACCCUAAUGCUGACUAAAUGGAAAAGUUUAGUUUAGGGUUUAAAACCCUAAUCCUGAUUAAAGGGAAAAGUUCAGUUUAGGGUAUAAAACCCUAAUAUUGAUUAAAGGGAAAAGUUCAGUUUAGGGUUUAAAACCCUAAUGCUGACUAAAGGGAAGAGUUCAGUUUAAGG